AAUACCCACUUGGUAAACGAAAUAGGCGUAAUAGCCGGAUACGCAUGGAACCGCAUGGUUCCGUUGUGAAAGGCGCUGCAAGGCGCCACUAAAAGAUGAGGGUGCGGAACAUUAGUUAGUUGGUGAGGUAAUGGCCCACCAAGACUAUGAUGUUUAGCCGGGUCGAGAGACUGAACGGCCACAUUGGGACUGAGAUACGGCCCAAACUCCUACGGGAGGCAGCAGCC
rnacentral:rRNA from 1 species